rnacentral:rRNA from 1 species
GACGAACGCUGGCGGCGUGCUUAACACAUGCAAGUCGAACGGAAAGGCCCUGCUUGCAGGGUACUCGAGUGGCGAACGGGUGAGUAACACGUGGGUGAUCUGCCCUGCACUUCGGGAUAAGCCUGGUAAACUGGGUCUAAUACCGGAUAGGAGCCAUUUUUAGUGUGAUGGUUGGAAAGUUUUUUCGGUGUAGGAUGAGCUCGCGGCCUAUCAGCUUGUUGGUGGGGUAAUGGCCUACCAAGGCGGCGACGGGUAGCCGGCCUGAGAGGGUGGACGGCCACAUUGGGACUGAGAUACGGCCCAGACUCCUACGGGAGGCAGCAGGGGGGAAUAUUGCACAAGGGGCGCAAGCCUGAUGCAGCGACGCCGCGUGGGGGAUGACGGCCUUCGGGUUGGAAACUCCUUUCGCUAGGGACGAAGCUUUUUGUGACGGUACCUAGAUAAGAAGCACCGGCUAACUACGUG